rnacentral:rRNA from 1 species
GAUGAACGCUGGCGGCGUGCCUAAUACAUGCAAGUCGAGCGAACAGACGAGGAGCUUGCUCCUCUGACGUUAGCGGCGGACGGGUGAGUAACACGUGGAUAACCUACCUAUAAGACUGGGAUGACUUCGGGAAACCGGAGCUAAUACCGGAUAAUAUAUUGAACCGCAUGGUUCAAUAGUGAAAGACGGUUUUGCUGUCACUUAUAGAUGGAUCCGCGCCGCAUUAGCUAGUUGGUAAGGUAACGGCUUACCAAGGCAACGAUGCGUAGCCGACCUGAGAGGGUGAUCGGCCACCCUGGAACUGAGACACGGUCCAGACUCCUACGGGAGGCAGCAGUAGGGAAUCUUCCGCAAUGGGCGAAAGCUUGACGGAGCAACGCCGCGUGAGUGAUGAAGGUCUUCGGAUCGUAAAACUCUGUUAUUAGGGAAGAACAAAUGUGUAAGUAACUAUGCACGUCUUGACGGUACCUAAUCAGAAAGCCACGGCUAACUACGUG